AGAGUUUGAUCCUGGCUCAGGACGAACGCUGGCGGCAUGCCUAACACAUGCAAGUCGAACGAGACCCCCGUCUUCGGAUGGCGGGUCUAGUGGCGCACGGGUGCGUAACGCGUGGGAAUCUGCCCUUCGGUUCGGAAUAACUCAGGGAAACUUGAGCUAAUACCGGAUAAUGUCUUCGGACCAAAGAUUUAUCGCCGAGGGAUGAGCCCGCGUAGGAUUAGCUUGUUGGUGAGGUAAAAGCUCACCAAGGCGACGAUCCUUAGCUGGUCUGAGAGGAUGAUCAGCCACACUGGGACUGAGACACGGCCCAGACUCCUACGGGAGGCAGCAGUGGGGAAUAUUGGACAAUGGGCGAAAGCCUGAUCCAGCAAUGCCGCGUGAGUGAUGAAGGCCUUAGGGUUGUAAAGCUCUUUUACCCGGGAUGAUAAUGACAGUACCGGGAGAAUAAGCCCCGGCUAACUCCGUGCCAGCAGCCGCGGUAAUACGGAGGGGGCUAGCGUUGUUCGGAAUUACUGGGCGUAAAGCGCACGUAGGCGGCUUAGUAAGUUAGAGGUGAAAGCCCUGAGCUCGACUCCGGAAUUGCCUUUAAGACUGCAUCGCUUGAAUCAUGGAGAGGUGAGUGGAAUUCCGAGUGUAGAGGUGAAAUACGUAGAUAUUCGGAAGAACGCAUNUGGCGAAGCGACUCCUGGACGUGUAUUGACGCUGAAGUUCCAAGCGUGGGACCACCUGAUGGAUACCUGUAUCAGGCGAUCGCCCCUGCGCG
rnacentral:rRNA from 1 species